rnacentral:tRNA from 1 species
UCCCUUGUAGCUCAGUUCGUAAAGAAUCUGCCUGUAAUGCAGGAGACCCAGGUUCGAUUCCUAGAUCGGGAA